rnacentral:pre_miRNA from 1 species
GGGGGGAGGCCGGAUCCUGGGCUGUGUCCCGGCGCCCUGUGCUCCGGGGCCUGCGCUGUUGGAUUCGUGCUCCCUGCUGGGCAGCCCCCU